rnacentral:rRNA from 1 species
UACGUAGGGGGCAAGCGUUGUCCGGAUUCAUUGGGCGUAAAGAGCGUGUAGGCGGCCAGGUAGGUCGGCUGUGAAAACUCGAGGCUCAACCUCGAGAUGUCGGCCGAAACCAUCUGGCUAGAGUCCGGAAAAGGAGAAUGGAAUUCCCGGUGUAGCGGUGAAGUGCGCAGAUAUCGGGAGGAACACCCGUGGCGAAGGCGGCUCUCUGGGACGGUACUGACGCUGAGACGCGAAAGCGUGGGGAGCGAACAGG